UUGCUUGAGCCUGCUUCCAUAUCGUAAACUGCCUUGGAACCAAUUACCACUACCAGGGAGACAAACUAUUGCUUAGAGGAUGCUGACAGGAGCAGCAUGCCAAAAUUGGAAGAAUGUUGUCUCUCAGCUGGUGCCACGAAUAGGUCUUCAGCAGGCUGUUCCAUUCCACCAUUCUGUCUGGCCCACUGCUUCUUACAAGAUUAAGAUAGCAGAUCCCAUGGGUGUAGGCUGUAGACCAAGACCUGGAAUUAACACAUCAGAAGAUUCUAUGAGGAAACCCAUUUAAAAAUAGGAUGCAUUUUUUUCUUUUCUGCACAGGGAGAAAGUUUAAGCUCUCCUCACUAUGAGUUUUCAAGUAUAAAAGACUUUUUCUUCCACGAUUUUGAGAACAACUGAGGACUCUUGUGACCAGGACAACAGGGAAGCUUGCAGCAAGAUAGCUCCAGGUUGGAUUCAUGCUUCGCACCCCAAGGGCUGCCAGCCAGAGAGGAGGAGAAGCAAUCACUCCUGCAGUUUCUGAACACUACACAGACGCCAGGUAGCUUCUUCAGGAGAACAGCCCUCUGAGGAGGCAGGAAGAGGAGGCUUAUCUUUCAGCAGCCGGAGCUGCUGAGAUCUCUGGGCAGAUUAAGCUCUCUCUAAUGGAUGGGCUCCAGCCUGGCACAUUCAGUGGAGAGGGAUCCACUCAUCCAUCAUCAACAUAAUAUGGUCCUCCCUGCACUUCACAGUGUCCUCUUGCUAUUGAAAAGGCUUUUUUGCCUUCUCAAGUUUCUUUGUCAACAGUCUACAGGAAGAAGCUCAGGCCGCCACCGGCAGAGGUGAAUGCAAGCUCACGUUUUAUUUCUGACUGCUUAAUCAUUGCCUCGAUCACUGCUCAAGCUCUGCCUUUGUUUCCAAAGGUUACCUGUGGGAAAACUUCUUUUUCUAUGCUGAAAUUAAUAGGGAGGCAAAGAUGAGUCCACUGAUAAGCAGAGCCUUAAAACUCACAUAGAGAAACAACUUUGCUGGAGUGUGUGUGAGUGAACCACUAAGGAAUCAGAUAGUGUGAUGGCAGUUAUCAUUGCAGGUUAAGACAUUUCUACAAAUAUUUCGACAUCUCCAUAUACUCACUCCUUUCCCCCCUGAGUGGAGAGACUCAGCUACCAAGAGAGGAAGCUCAAAAAAAACAGAAGCUUCAAACAAACAACCAACCAAAAAAAAAAAAAACCUUCCACUGGCCACUCAGCGAAAGGCAGCUGAUUCAGCACCUGGAGAAGACCGGCAACAGGGCUGAGUUUCCUUGCACUGCAGAGGAGGGGAGAGGCAAGGAGUGGACAUGAGCACGGAGGAUCCAGGGCACUCCCUUGAUGGUGAUGCCCUCGAAGGGCUGCCCCGUGCCCAUUGUACAGAAUGUGGAUUCCACCCCACGCCAUGAGAGCUCUCGCGCAGGCCCAGACCACUUUAUAAGCCAUAUUUCCCACCAAUUCCUGUUUCUGGAUCUGUCAGGUUAUUUCAUAUUUCUAGGCCCUUAGCUUUGCUUCCUCUUCCCUGAACGCCCUUUGCCCACAUCAUCCCAGCUCUCCUUCUCCUCCUGCCUUCUGUCUUCUCUUCCUCUCAUUUCUUGUCACCCAGGCUGGAGUCCAGUGGCGUGAUCACGGCUCACUACAGCCUUGAACUCCCGGGCUCAGGUGAUCCUCCCACCUGAGCCUCCCGAGUAGCUGGGACUACAGAUGCACACCACCAUGCCAGCUAAUUUUUAAAACUGUUUUUAGGGAUGGGGUCAUCUUCCUGUGUUGCCCAGGCUUGUCUCAAACUCCUGGGCUCAAGUGAUCCUCUCACCUCAGCCUUCCAAAGUGCUGGGAUUACAGGCAUGAGCCACAACAUCCAGCCCCUUUUCUCUUUUCUUACCCUUCUUUCCUAUUUUCUUUUCCAUUUUCUUUCCCUCCCUUCUUCUUUCUUUCCUAACUAUUAAGGAGUAGAUUGAAUUCAAGGUCUUUAUGUGUGUCAGUCAUACCAGACUUCUGCUUCCAGGAAUGACUGGAUGUGGUUUUUCUAGGUGGACAUAAUACAAAAUGCAGCUACCUGAAAACAAUGGAAAGUGGACAGAGCAGGCAGAUUCUGGUGGGAAGUCCACGCAAUAAAGAAAAGAUGUUACAGGAAGUGAGCGCCCAUUUUUGCUGUUUUUAGCUUGGAGGCAGGUGCAGCCAUUGUGCAAACCAGGUGUGGUGCUGGUGGAAAAACAGCCAUCUUUUUGGACUAUGAAAAUGGAAGGUUGAGUUCAGGGCAACUAUAACUGCCAAAAGAGAGAAGAAAGAGUUCUGGAAGAGAAAGAGCCAAAGAGGGAAUUCCCAAAUUCUUUCUGCUCCUGUCUGUGGCUGAUCCCAAACCACGGACACACACAGCAAAAACAAAAGCAUCUCAGCCAGAGACAAAAGAGUCUAAAAGAGACUGGACCUGCCACCUGAGAAACAGAGUUUGAAGUUAGAGUUCAAUCACAAAAAAAUGCCUGCUAAAACAAAAUAAACAAAACCUAUUAGAGAAAAGGUGUUCUCUUAUCAGAAUGUAGGGCCUCCACAACUUAACGUUUAUAAUGUGUACAAUCCAAACUUAUUCGACAUAUGAAGAACUGGAAAAGUGGGACCCAUUCUCAAGGGAAAAGAUAGCGGAGAUUCACUCCAAGAUGACCCAGAUGUUGGAAUUAUCCACCAAGGAUUUUAAAGCUACUAUUAUAACUGUUCUCAUGCUAUAAAAUCCACUAUUUAGAUCAUACUUAAUUGUGAAGAAAUGAAUUCUUUCCUCCUAAGAUUAGAAACAAGGACGGCAUGAAUACCCACUUUCACUACUAACACUGAAUUUUGUACGAAGGUCCCAGUCAGUUCAAUAUUUUUAAAAAGAUUUUAAAAAAAGCAAUAAAAGGCAUACAUAUUGGAAAGGGAAAAGUAAACUGUCUAAAUUUGCAGAUGACAAGGUCAUAUAAUGGUUUAAAAAAAGCUACUAGAACAAUAUGUGAGUUUACCAAGGUUAAAGGAUACAAGGUCAAUAUGCCAAAGUCAAGUGAAUUUCUAUAUAUUUGCAAUGAACAAUUCAAAAUGGAGUUUUAAAACAUUUUUAUUUAUGAUAGUCUCCAAAAUACUUUUUAAGAAAGAAAAUGACAGAAGCAACCCAAGUGUCUACUGAUGGAUAAUUAAAUUAUAGUAUAUAAAUACAAUGGGGCCGGGUGCAGUGGUUCAUGCCUGUAAACCCAGCACUUUGGGAGGCUGAGGUGGGAGGAUCACUCGAGCCCAGGAGUUCAAGACCAGCCUGGGCAACAUGGUGAAACCCCAUCUCUAGAAAAAGUACAACAAUUAGCUGAGCAUGGUGGUGCACACCUAUGGUCCUAGCUACUAGGAGGCUGAGGUGGGAGAUCACCGGAGCACAGGAGGUUGAGGCUGCAGUGAGCUGUGAUUGUGCCACUGCACUCCAGCCUGGGUGACAGAGCAAGACCCUGUCUCAAACACAUAUAUACAUACAUAUGUGGAAUACAAUGGAAUAUUUACUUAAAAAAGAAAGAAAAUUCCGACAACAUGGAUGGACCUUGAAGAUAUUAUGUUGAGUGAACUAGUCACAAAAGGACAAAUACUGCAUAAUUGUACUUUUAUGAGGCACUUAGAGUAAUCAAACUCAGAGACAGAAAGUAGAAUGCUGGUUGCCAGGGGCUGGUAGAAUGGAAAGUUAUUGUUUAAUGUUUAUAAAGUUUUAGUUUUGCAAGAUAAAAAGAUUUCUGUGGAUGGAUGGUGGUGAUGGUUGCACAAUGUGAAUGUACUUAAUGCCACUUAAAAAUGGUCAAGAUGGUAAAUUUUAUGUUAUGUGUAUUGUACCACAAUUUUCUUUACAAGGUCUCAAGUUGGACAUUAAAAUGCCAGGCAAUUAAAAGUAUUUAUGUUUAAAACUUAAUUUAAAAAAUAAUUGACAAGUAUAUUCUAAAAUU
rnacentral:lncRNA from 1 species